GCAGUAGCCGCGGUAAUACGAAGGGUGCAAGCGUUACUCGGAAUUACUGGGCGUAAAGCGUGCGUAGGUGGUGGUUUAAGUCCGUUGUGAAAGCCCUGGGCUCAAUCUGGGAAUUGCAGUGGAUACUGGGUCACUAGAGUGUGGUAGAGGAUAGUGGAAUUUCCGGUGUAGCAGUGAAAUGCGUAGAGAUCGGAAGGAACAUCUGUGGCGAAGGCGACUAUCUGGGCCAACACUGACACUGAGGCACGAAAGCGUGGGGAGCAAACAGGAUUAGAUACCCGCGUAGUCCCUGUCUCUUAUAC
rnacentral:rRNA from 1 species